rnacentral:rRNA from 1 species
UACGGAAGGCAGCAGUGGGGAAUAUUGCACAAUGGGCGCAAGCCUGAUGCAGCCAUGCCGCGUGUAUGAAGAAGGCCUUCGGGUUGUAAAGUACUUUCAGUCGUGAGGAAGGUGUUAAGGUUAAUAACCUUAGCAAUUGACGUUAGCGACAGAAGAAGCACCGGCUAACUCCGUGCCAGCAGCCGCGGUAAUACGGAGGGUGCGAGCGUUAAUCGGAAUUACUGGGCGUAAAGGGCACGCAGGCGGUUAAUUAAGUUGGAUGUGAAAUCCCCGGGCUUAACCUGGGAAUGGCAUUCAGACUGGUUAGCUAGAGUCUUGUAGAGGGGGUAGAAUUCCAUGUGUAGCGGUGAAAUGCGUAGAGAUGUGGAGGAAUACCGGUGGCGAAGGCGGCCCCUGGACAAAGACUGACGCUCAUGUGCGAAAGCGUGGGGAGCAAACAGGGAUUAGAUACC